rnacentral:rRNA from 1 species
UACGAACUGUGCAAACGUUAUUCGGAAUCACUGGGCUUACAGGGUGCGUAGGCGGCUUGUCAAGUAGGGUGUGAAAGCCCCCGGCUCAACCGGGGAAUUGCGCCCUAAACUGGCGAGCUGGAGUGAGAUAGGGGUGUGCGGAACUUCCGGUGGAGCGGUGAAAUGUGUUGAUAUCGGAAGGAACGCCGGUGGCGAAAGCGGCACACUGGAUCUCAACUGACGCUGAGGCACGAAAGCCAGGGGAGCAAACGGG